rnacentral:rRNA from 1 species
GCACUUUAAGCAGUGAAGAAGACUCCAUGGUUAAUACCCAUGGACGAUGACAUUAGCUGCAGAAUAAGCACCGGCUAACUCUGUGCCAGCAGCCGCGGUAAUACAGAGGGUGCAAGCGUUAAUCGGAAUUACUGGGCGUAAAGGGAGCGUAGGUGGCUCGAUAAGUCAGAUGUGAAAUCCCCGGGCUCAACCUGGGAACUGCAUCUGAUACUGUUGAGCUAGAGUAUGUGAGAGGAAGGUAGAAUUCCAGGUGUAGCGGUGAAAUGCGUAGAGAUCUGGAGGAAUACCGAUGGCGAAGGCAGCCUUCUGGCAUAAUACUGACACUGAGGCUCGAAAGCGUGGGUAGCGAACAGGAUUAGAUACCCUGGUAGUCCACGCCGUAAACGAUGUCUACUAGUCGUUGG